rnacentral:rRNA from 1 species
AAUCAACGCUGGCGGCGUGCCUCAGACAUGCAAGUCGAACGAUUAAAGCUCUCUUCGGAGAGUGUAUAGAGUGGCGAACGGGUGAGUAACACGUAAGUAAUCUACCCUCGAGUGGGGAAUAACAACCGGAAACGGUUGCUAAUACCGCAUAAUGCAGCGGCACCGCAAGGUGACAGUUGUUAAAGAUUUAUCGCUUGAGGAGGAGCUUGCGGCAGAUUAGCUAGUUGGUAGGGUAACGGCUUACCAAGGCUACGAUCUGUAACCGGUCUAAGAGGACGGUCGGUCACACUGACACUGAAUAACGGGUCAGACUCCUACGGGAGGCAGCAGUCGGGAAUUUUGGGCAAUGGGCGAAAGCCUGACCCAGCAACGCCGCGUGAAGGAUGAAGUAUUUCGGUAUGUAAACUUCGAAAGAAUAGGAAGAAUUAAUGACGGUACUAUUUAUAAGGUCCGGCUAACUACGUGCCAGCAGCCGCGGUAAUGUCUGUACU